GUGCUAACGUCCGUCGUGAAGAGGGAAACAACCCAGACCGCCAGCUAAGGUCCCAAAGUCAUGGUUAAGUGGGAAACGAUGUGGGAAGGCCCAGACAGCCAGGAUGUUGGCUUAGAAGCAGCCAUCAUUUAAAGAAAGCGUAAUAGCUCACUGGUCGAGUCGGCCUGCGCGGAAGAUGUAACGGGGCUAAACCAUGCACCGAAGCUGCGGCAGCGACACUGUGUGUUGUUGGGUAGGGGAGCGUUCUGUAAGCCUGUGAAGGUGUGUCGUGAGGCAUGCUGGAGGUAUCAGAAGUGCGAAUGCUGACAUAAGUAACGAUAAAGCGGGUGAAAAGCCCGCUCGCCGGAAGACCAAGGGUUCCUGUCCAACGUUAAUCGGGGCAGGGUGAGUCGACCCCUAAGGCGAGGCCGAAAGGCGUAGUCGAUGGGAAACGGGUUAAUAUUCCCGUACUUGGUGUUACUGCGAAGGGGGGACGGAGAAGGCUAUGUUGGCCGGGCGACGGUUGUCCCGGUUUAAGCGUGUAGGUGUGUGUUCCAGGUAAAUCCGGUUCACUUUAACACUGAGGCGUGACGACGAGGCACUACGGUGCUGAAGCAACAAAUGCCCUGCUUCCAGGAAAAGCCUCUAAGCAUCAGGUAACAUCAAAUCGUACCCCAAACCGACACAGGUGGUCAGGUAGAGAAUACCAAGGCGCUUGAGAGAACUCGGGUGAAGGAACUAGGCAAAAUGGUGCCGUAACUUCGGGAGAAGGCACGCUGACACGUAGGUGAAGUGAUUUACUCAUGGAGCUGAAGUCAGUCGAAGAUACCAGCUGGCUGCAACUGUUUAUUAAAAACACAGCACUGUGCAAACACGAAAGUGGACGUAUACGGUGUGACGCCUGCCCGGUGCCGGAAGGUUAAUUGAUGGGGUCAGCGCAAGCGAAGCUCCUGAUCGAAGCCCCGGUAAACGGCGGCCGUAACUAUAACGGUCCUAAGGUAGCGAAAUUCCUUGUCGGGUAAGUUCCGACCUGCACGAAUGGCGUAAUGAUGGCCAGGCUGUCUCCACCCGAGACUCAGUGAAAUUGAACUCGCUGUGAAGAUGCAGUGUACCCGCGGCAAGACGGAAAGACCCCGUGAACCUUUACUAUAGCUUGACACUGAACAUUGAGCCUUGAUGUGUAGGAUAGGUGGGAGGCUUUGAAGUGUGGACGCCAGUCUGCAUGGAGCCGACCUUGAAAUACCACCCUUUAAUGUUUGAUGUUCUAACGUGGACCCGUUACCCGGGUUGCGGACAGUGUCUGGUGGGUAGUUUGACUGGGGCGGUCUCCUCCUAAAGAGUAACGGAGGAGCACGAAGGUUGGCUAAUCCUGGUCGGACAUCAGGAGGUUAGUGCAAUGGCAUAAGCCAGCUUGACUGCGAGCGUGACGGCGCGAGCAGGUGCGAAAGCAGGUCAUAGUGAUCCGGUGGUUCUGAAUGGAAGGGCCAUCGCUCAACGGAUAAAAGGUACUCCGGGGAUAACAGGCUGAUACCGCCCAAGAGUUCAUAUCGACGGCGGUGUUUGGCACCUCGAUGUCGGCUCAUCACAUCCUGGGGCUGAAGUAGGUCCCAAGGGUAUGGCUGUUCGCCAUUUAAAGUGGUACGCGAGCUGGGUUUAGAACGUCGUGAGACAGUUCGGUCCCUAUCUGCCGUGGGCGCUGGAGAACUGAGGGGGGCUGCUCCUAGUACGAGAGGACCGGAGUGGACGCAUCACUGGUGUUCGGGUUGUCAUGCCAAUGGCACUGCCCGGUAGCUAAAUGCGGAAGAGAUAAGUGCUGAAAGCAUCUAAGCACGAAACUUGCCCCGA
rnacentral:rRNA from 1 species